ACAUGCUCAGAGUCCAUGUGAAUCACAGGAGGGCGGCAGUGUGCACUGGGAGAGAAGGCCAUGGAGUUCCUGCUGAACCACUCAACAGCUUAAAAUACAACCAGCCCCUCUCCCUACUGGGCCAGCUGCCGGGGAGGGCUGAAACCCUAGCCUCUUCCCCCAGCUGGGGCCCUGCAACCAGGCCAGGAGUCGUGGGGCACCAACUGGUGGGCAGCAGGAGAGCGCAUGGAGAGGGGCCACAGCAAAGAGCAAUCCCAAGCCGCGAGCUGAGGGGCUGCCUGCAGCAGAGGAAGACUCGGGCAAACCAGGAAGCUUAAGGAAGCCAGAGACCCUAAACCUCGAGGAUGAACUGACUAGAGGUGCUCGCCCCUGGCUCCACCCAAGCCAGCAGGCAGCGAGGCUGGGAGAGGCUGAAACUAAGGAGCAGUGGCCCUGUGCCUUUCCAAAUACAAUGGUUCUGUGAGGGCCCCAGAGGACUUAAAAUAGACUAGACUACCCUCUAUCAGUAACACAUUAGGUCAGAUCAUCAGGUAAGAGAAUUUCAUCAUCCCCAGCAUAAAGUCCACAGGUCCUCAGGGACGCUAAGAAUCAUGCCCUGCCUAGCCAGCCUGUCUAACAUGGAACUCCCACCACAAGGAAGGCUGGGCCCCAGGUAGUGUCUGCUGUCUGAGCAGGGCUGAGUGAGGACCAGGUCAGGGAUAAGGACAAUCCCAAACCUUGCCAGGGCACUGGAGAGGUUGGCCAGCAGCCAUUCAUCUGGCAGGGCAUUAAUACUCGACAGUACAUAACGAGCUCAAACUCUAAAACUAGUAGUCAUCCAUCAACACAUAGGCAAACAGGGUUUCUCAAAAGUACGAAUGGUCAAGAAAAACAAAAUGAAAAUAGGCAGGUGGUGGCGCACACCUUUAAUCCCAGUGCUCAGCAGGCAGAGGCAGGAGCAUCACUGUGAGUUCGAGACCAGCCUGCUGGGGUUACAUAGAGAAUUCUAGGCCAAUAAGGGCUUCACAGUGAGACCCUGUCUCAAAAAGAAAAAAAAAAAAGCAAGACCCAGAAGGGUGGCCACACCUUUGAUCCCAG